AGCAGCCGCGGUAAUUCCAGCUCCAAUAGCGUAUAUUAAAGUUGUUGCAGUUAAAAAGCUCGUAGUUGAAUUUCGGGGUUCUACCGUUGGUCGGGCUAUUGUCUGUACUGGCGUGUAGAAUUUCUACCUUCUGGGGAACUAUCAUGUUAUUAAUUUAGCGUGGUAGGAAACCAGAACCUUUACCUUGAAAAAAUUAGAGUGUUCAAAGCAGGCUUAUGUCUGAAUACAUUAGCAUGGAAUAAUAAAAUAGGACGGUGGUCCUAUUUUGUUGGUUUCUGAAUCACCGUAAUGAUUAAUAGGGAUAGUUGGGGGCAUUAGUAUUCAAUUGUCAGAGGUGAAAUUCUUGGAUUUAUUGAAGACUAACUACUGCGAAAGCAUUUGCCAAGGAUGUUUUCAUUAAUCAAGAACGAAAGUUAGGGGAUCGAAGACGAUCAGAUACCGUCGUAGUCUUAACCAUAAACUAUGCCGACUAGGGAUCGGGACGAUGUUAAUUUUUCUUGACUCGUUCGGCGCCUUACGG
rnacentral:rRNA from 1 species